rnacentral:rRNA from 1 species
UACAGAGGUGGCAAGCGUUGUUCGGAAUUACUGGGCGUAAAGGGCGCGUAGGCUGCCAUCUAAGUCAGACGUGAAAUCCCCCGGCUUAACCUGGGAACUGCGUCUGAUACUGGACGGCUGGAGUUUGGGAGAGGGAUGUAGAAUUCCAGGUGUAGCGGUGAAAUGCGUAGAUAUCUGGAGGAAUACCGGUGGCGAAGGCGGCAUCCUGGACCAAUACUGACGCUGAGGCGCGAAAGCUAGGGGAGCAAACGGG